GCCCGCCUAGCUCAAUCGGCCAGAGCGUCAGACUUUUACGGUGAAUUGACCGAUUCAUCUGAAGGCUGCGAGUUCGACCCUCGCGGUGGGCU